GACGAUUUCGCGUAAUUACAAUAAUUAUAUUAUAUACGCAAGUGCGCGAAAUACUACCACGUGGGGCGUUACGAAAUGGCCUCACGAUAUCUCGCCGUGCUUCGUAAUGCUUCGCUAGCGAGAAUCAGAAUUGACGAUGUUCUCCGACAACGAAAAGCUUCCGGAAGAUUCUCGAAGAUGUGCAAAAACGGAGGGAGGGAGAAGACGAGAAAGAGAAAGAGUAUCGGCAACAGAAACAGGAAAUAACAACAGACAAAACAUUUUGCGACUUCUGAUUGGUUUGCAUACAUUUUCAAAUCUGUUCUUGUCCUGUGCUUCUGUACGUACAAUAAGCGAGAGAGAGAGAGAGAGAGAGAGAGAGAACAUCAAAAGAUUCUGUAAAAGCGAGUUUUUUUAAAUUCAUCGAUCGAUCAAUCGCAUUAUGCGCAAAUGCAAUUUUUUACAGAGCAAAGUUGCAUUUGCGCAUAACGUGGCUGAUAAAUCAGUGAAAUAAAAAAAACUUGCCUACAUUGAUGCUAUUUUCGCGUGCGCGCGAUUUAAAAAAAGAAAAACUUGUAUUAAAUAGCGACAGAUAGAAAAAAAUUGAUGAGACCACGUUCCGUUGCUCGAUUGCACGGCGCGAUCGGCCGUGCGCAAACGGGACAAGUGUAAAAUCACAUAUUUAACGUAUAUUUAAAAAAGGUACUUUAUUCUACAUAGAUUCUUCAUAUGCGCCUCGCACGGCGAUUUUACUACAAAUGUAACAACGUAUUACGUUCGUGUUCCUGCUCCCUUUAAUUUUAAACUAUUAGAACGCGUGGAUAUAUCCCUUUGCGUUACCUCAACCGUGUGAUCCGUCUUAUGUUUGUAUUUAUAGCGCUAAAUGGGAUCGAAUAAUUCGAAAAAACUGCGGAUAUAAGAUACAAUUAUAAUUUAUAAAUUUACAUUUACAAGGCUUAUAUCAUAAUUUUAAUAUUAAAAUAAUUGUACUUAUUAAAAAAAAAAAAAAAAAUAAUAAUGGGAGGAAAAAGAAACCAUCGUUACGUUGAAUUUCAGCCGGUCACAAUGUACAAUGCGACUAACGCUUAACAGAUUUUUAAAACGCAUUAGAUAUAUUUAUUUUAAAAAUUGAUUGUACAAUGUUAAGAUCUCAUAUAUUUAUAUAUAUAUAUAUUCAUAUAGAAAGUAAAUCAGGUAGGCUGGCAAGAAGCUUAUCGCGUCACAUUUAUUCUUCUUGGCAGUCUCGCAACUUUGACAGAAGGUGGCUGCUCGUUAAUUCGAAUCAUUAGUGAUAUCGUGUAGACAAUAACGAUAUAAUUGCGAUAAGUGCCCUGUAAU